AAAACAAGUACACCAUACGUUUCAAGCAUUCAGAAACCUAAUCUUCCAGCCUCCAUCGUCGUUCUUACAUCAGUCAAGCAAAUCAGAUGGCGAUCCAUCUUCGUUUAAUCCUUAAGGUUUACAGUUCCUCCUCUGCAAGGGAUCCUCUUAUAAUCUUCCAUCGUCUUCAUACAUAAGAAAUCGCCACUUCUAAUGUCUUUCUUUCCAGGUUUCAUCUAAUCCCUUUCCAUUCAAAUCCACUGUUUCAGGAAUUGACGGCUGUAAAAUUAGGUUUAAUAAUUGAAAUUUUGUAGUUUCUUUUGGCUUUUUUACUUCGCUUUUUUGGUUUAUUAUUGCAUGUUUGAUGUUUGUUUCGAAUGCUUUAAUUAACCUUUUGAUAUUGGUUUUGAUUAGGGUUAUGAAUCUCAUCAUCGUGAUGUAGCAGAUAAUCAUAAGGUACGGCCACCACUUCCUCUUUUUCCUUUCAAUUGACGAUGAUCUUACAUCCAAUAGAAGCCCUAAUUUCAUUAUUCUGUUUUGUUUUUUAAAGAAUAAAAAAAGAAUUGCUGGUUCUGAAAGUAAUCCAAUAGAAGCCCUAAUUUGAUUAUUCUGUUUUUUUUUUUCUAAAAGAAGAACAAGAAUUUCUGGUUCUCAUAGUACGGGGUUAGGGUUUUAAUUUAGUGACUGAAUUAUUGAUAAUCUGUCAUCGAGUUAUGUAAACAUUCUGAAAUGCUCUUACUCUACAUUUACAUGUUAACUCAUACACUCUGGAUUGUUUCUUUUGCGCACACACUCUACCGAAACCUUAACAUUGCUUCAUUUCCUCUUCAAGAAUCUCCCUACCCUCUGCAUUUCUUUUUUCUUUUUAUCAAAAACUAAGAACAAUCGUAUGGCCAUUGUAUUUGGUGUUCUGCUUUUGUGUUCAUGGAUCAUCUUUUCAAGGUAUUUUUCUGGUUCGUUAGUCAAAGGGGUAUGGAAGAUGAGAUUAUAAUCCUGGGUUCAUAAUUUCGUGCAUGUGAGACUAGGAAAAGUCAUUGAAAGAAAAGGUUUGUGUACAUUUUAUUUUUUACUUCUACAAACACCAAAAAGACCUGAUUAUAGACUCACGGAACUUUUUCUACUUUCUACCUUGUGUCGCAUUCAUUCGCUUCAGGAAAAGUUUACCAGGUAAUGUUAUUGUUAAUGCUAAUCAAGUAGUUUUAUUUGAAUAAACUCUCCGUGUGUGUUAAAUUGUACCACCCUUAUUGACGAAUUUGAUCAUGGUGUAGGUUGUAAAAGCACAACACUCAACUCAAGGAAGGGGAGGUGCUAUUAUACAGGUAGAGCUUUCGUGAUGUUGACAGUGGAAACAAAGGGAAUUAAAGGUUUCAUACAGACGAAACUGUUGAAAAAAUAUUUGUUGAAGCCAAAUCUUACAUUUAUCUAUACAUUGAUGAAGAAACUGAUACGAUUGUACUAAUGAGUUGUUUAUGCAACAAUGUCUAAAGCAAGAAUGCAGUCUGGGCUAUGCAGGGAUUGUAGGAAACAAGUGUAUCUAGGUAAGCAAUUAUGUGCUUGAUGUCCUUUUGGUUUGACUUGGUUUCCUAGACACUGGAUUAAAGUGUUCAGCGUGUUCAUACAUAGUGGAAAUAUCAAAGGGAGUAGACUCCCCUGGUUCCAUAUUUAUACAGUUCGUUUUUAGUGGUUUGACAACUUGAAAUUUGAAUCACGUGUUGGUAAACAAACCUAGCGGCUAGCUCUCAACAAUCUAAGAGAGAAAACGGGACAAGUUUCUACACAAGUUCAUCUAAGCUUAUUAUGGAGCCGCAUCAACUAAUACAAAUCGAACCACCUCAACUUUCAGGCUUUUUAAGAGACAUUUGGACUGAUCCGGUGUUAUAUCCGAGUCUGACUAAGAGCUGGUGUCUAACAUGGUUGUUUGGGACUUCAAAUCCAACUAACAUCAAGAUAUGGCUCGUGUUUGAUUUGUUUUGGCUGAAGCUAUAAUGCACAAGAUCAAGACUACAAUAGUCUUUCAGUUGGAGAGCGUUUGUGAUUUUACAGAAACAUCCGAGAAGUGCGAAUACUCAACAUGAUCCUUCUGCAAAUGUGUCCUCAAAAGAUGAACACAUUAAAUUCCUUCUCAAUCAGCUAUGUGUUGUGUGUUGUUGAGAAGCCAACCGAACUUAAGAAAGAUCUCUCUUCUUUAAAUGUGACAGUUAUUUGGACGGUUGUGACACGCGUCAUCCAACCCUCCUUUUAUUUUCUUCUUGCAGCUAAUGUGUUAACCCGUUCCUCAAAAAUUUUCUAGCGUUAGAAGGAAGAAGAAAGAUUUGACAGAAAGGAAGAGGAGAGAGAGAGAUAGAAAGAAGAGAAGAAAGAGAGAGAGAAAGAGAGAUGCGGGCGGUAGAGAGAGAAUUUCGGAGCCGGUGAGUCUCUGACGACUGCCUUCGCGGGCUCGCCUCUCUUCCAGAGUGGAAGAUGUAGAAACUCUCAGUGGUGUUGGCUUGGUCAAGUAAGUGAUAGUGGUUCGUAAUUCGUGUGAAUAUUCGAGGGUUCAGAGGUGGUAGUGGCCAGUUCCGACGAGUCUAGGUGAUUCCGGCAAGGUUAAACCAAGCGGCCGGCCACCACAAUUGUCCGUUGCUAUGCUCACAUCCAUGCAAUUGUCUUGCGCCAGUGAAACAUGGGAUAGGUGUGGAAGAAACAGUACACAUUUGGUUUGGUAGGGGCUUAAAGUGGUCAAAUUUCAUUAAAAGACCGAUGAUGCCUUGGAAGUUUUUCACUUUUAGUCGGUUUCAAAAUCAAUACACAACAGCAAUACUAAUGGUAUCUUCCCUGAUUUUCGGAUUGGUGACGCCCCGCUUUCAGUCACCUUCCCUACAUUACUCGCUAUAGAAAAAGACAAUGUGUUUGAUUGCGCAUCGGAUUAAAUAUGGGGUUGGAUGGAACAGUUUAGUGUGGCAAUGGAGUCGGGUGCUGCAACAUCCUAUUGAAAUGACUAAGUUACAACAGAUUUCAAGCUGAAUUUCAGCCCUCUUUUCCUACUGGUAUGUUUUCUGUUAUGAGCGCUAAACAGUGUAUUCAGGUCCAAACUAGAUUGCAGCCUCAAUAUACAUUUGUGUGGAAUAAUUGGGACCCCACAAAAGUGGGGUAUUGUGGCUUGGAGGGCUGAAAAGUAGAGACUUCCAACAUUAGACGCAUUGACAGUCAGAAACAUUCAAAUGCCUAAUGAUCGAUGUGCUUUCUCUGGUGAGUACGGGGAAACAUGUGGAGAAGACAUUAUCUCUUGCCAGUUCGCACAAACUGUUUGGCAUGUAAUCGACCAAUGGUGUAAUGUCCCAAGCUUUUAUGUGUUUCAGUUCCGAGAUCUCUUGGAUAUGCCUGAAUUUUACCAUGGUUCGACAAAAAAGAUGUUUUUUUCAUGCUAUCAUUCUUACAAAACCUGGAGUAUCUGGAUGAUGUGAAAUAAGAUCGUAUUUAGGGGGUGUUUGGUUUAGCUUUUUAAAUCAACUUAUUGACUUAUUGGUUUUUUGGAAAAGUCACAACGGAGUGACUUUUUGGGGCUUAUUGACUUUUCCCCUCACAUACACCCUCAAUCCUAAACAUCAUUUUAACUUUUCAAAAAGCCAAUAAGUCAAUAAGUUGUUUCAAAAAGCUUAGCCAAACAUGCCUUUAAUCAGAGUUCAGCAUCAGUGUCAAAAGUGAUUGAAGAAGUCAAAGCCGUUGCAUUCCUUUGGGUAAAAAAAAAUUGAUCGAAAGAAGCUUCAUUAAUAUGGAAUAAUUAGUCCAGCUUUAGUUUCAUGUUGUAACAGUUUUUUUGGCUGUGUUUUGGUGCCUUACUUUGGGUCUAUUGUGGUACGGUUGGUGGAUUGUCUCCAUGUACUCUAAUAUGUUUCUUUCUUGAGGUGUCUGUACAAUUGGUGCUUGCUACUCGCAAGAUUUUAAUGAUAUUAUG